rnacentral:rRNA from 1 species
CGCUGGCGGCAUGCCUAACACAUGCAAGUCGAACGAGACCUUCGGGUCUAGUGGCGCACGGGUGCGUAACGCGUGGGAACCUGCCUUUAGGUUCGGAAUAACUCAGAGAAAUUUGAGCUAAUACCGGAUAAUGUCUUCGGACCAAAGAUUUAUCGCCUUUAGAUGGGCCCGCGUAAGAUUAGCUAGUUGGUGGGGUAAAGGCCUACCAAGGCGACGAUCUUUAGCUGGUCUGAGAGGAUGAUCAGCCACACUGGGACUGAGACACGGCCCAGACUCCUACGGGAGGCAGCAGUGGGAAUAUUGGACAAUGGGCGAAAGCCUGAUCCAGCAAUGCCGCGUGAGUGAUGAAGGCCUUAGGGUUGUAAAGCUCUUUUACCCGAGAUGAUAAUGACAGUAUCGGGAGAAUAAGCUCCGGCUAACUCCGUG